rnacentral:tRNA from 1 species
AGUUAAUUAGCUUUACAAAAGCAUAUGUCUUGAAAACAUAAGUCUAGAAGUUUAAUCCUUCUAUUAACUU